rnacentral:rRNA from 1 species
UUGAACGCUGGCGGCAGGCCUAACACAUGCAAGUCGAACGGUAACAGGAAGCAGCUUGCUGCUUUGCUGACGAGUGGCGGACGGGUGAGUAAUGUCUGGGAAACUGCCCGAUGGAGGGGGAUAACUACUGGAAACGGUAGCUAAUACCGCAUAACGUCGCAAGACCAAAGAGGGGGACCUUAGGGCCUCUUGCCAUCGGAUGUGCCCAGAUGGGAUUAGCUAGUAGGUGGGGUAAAGGCUCACCUAGGCGACGAUCCCUAGCUGGUCUGAGAGGAUGACCAGCCACACUGGAACUGAGACACGGUCCAGACUCCUACGGGAGGCAGCAGUGGGGAAUAUUGCACAUUGGGCGCAAGCCUGAUGCAGCCAUGCCGCGUGUAUGAAGAAGGCCUUCGGGUUGUAAAGUACUUUCAGCGGGGAGGAAGGGAGUAAAGUUAAUACCUUUGCUCAUUGACGUUACCCGCAGAAGAAGCACCGGCUAACUCCGUGCCAGCAGCCGCGGUAAUACGGAGGGUGCAAGCGUUAAUCGGAAUUACUGGGCGUAAAGCGCACGCAGGCGGUUUGUUAAGUCAGAUGUGAAAUCCCCGGGCUCAACCUGGGAACUGCAUCUGAUACUGGCAAGCUUGAGUCUCGUAGAGGGGGGUAGAAUUCCAGGUGUAGCGGUGAAAUGCGUAGAGAUCUGGAGGAAUACCGGUGGCGAAGGCGGCCCCCUGGACGAAGACUGACGCUCAGGUGCGAAAGCGUGGGGAGCAAACAGGAUUAGAUACCCUGGUAGUCCACGCCGUAAACGAUGUCGACUUGGAGGUUGUGCCCUUGAGGCGUGGCUUCCGGAGCUAACGCGUUAAGUCGACCGCCUGGGGAGUACGGCCGCAAGGUUAAAACUCAAAUGAAUUGACGGGGGCCCGCACAAGCGGUGGAGCAUGUGGUUUAAUUCGAUGCAACGCGAAGAACCUUACCUGGUCUUGACAUCCACGGAAGUUUUCAGAGAUGAGAAUGUGCCUUCGGGAACCGUGAGACAGGUGCUGCAUGGCUGUCGUCAGCUCGUGUUGUGAAAUGUUGGGUUAAGUCCCGCAACGAGCGCAACCCUUAUCCUUUGUUGCCAGCGGUCCGGCCGGGAACUCAAAGGAGACUGCCAGUGAUAAACUGGAGGAAGGUGGGGAUGACGUCAAGUCAUCAUGGCCCUUACGACCAGGGCUACACACGUGCUACAAUGGCGCAUACAAAGAGAAGCGACCUCGCGAGAGCAAGCGGACCUCAUAAAGUGCGUCGUAGUCCGGAUUGGAGUCUGCAACUCGACUCCAUGAAGUCGGAAUCGCUAGUAAUCGUGGAUCAGAAUGCCACGGUGAAUACGUUCCCGGGCCUUGUACACACCGCCCGUCACACCAUGGGAGUGGGUUGCAAAAGAAGUAGGUAGCUUAACCUUCGGGAGGGCGCUUACCACUUUGUGAUUCAUGACUGGGGUG